rnacentral:sRNA from 1 species
GCUGGGCGUGGGGGCGGGCGCCUGUAGUCCCAGCUACUCGGGAGGCUGAGGCAGGAGAAUUGCUUGAACCCAGGAGGCGGAGGUGGCAGUGAGCCGAGAUUACGCCACCGCACUCCAGCCUGGGUGACAGAGCAAGACUCUGCCUCAA